CUGCAAGUAUUACAUCAAUGUCGUAUUGAUGUUUUGUGCGUGAUUGUCAAGUUAAACCAAUGAAAUAACCACGUCGUCAGAGCUUGCUGUAUCAAACUGACAGAAAUUCAGGUAAGUUUGAAUAAAUAUUUUGACAGUCUGUUUGUAACAUAUGGCUUGAUGAUUUACUUGAGUAAAAUAAAAGCUAUGAUUUCUAUUCUCGUUCUCACUAGCUAUCAAAAUGUUUGUCCAAAGUGUAUUGAUAUUGAUGUUAUCAGCAUGGUCGUUGGCGAUGCCACCGCCUUACCCAACGACGACGCUUUACCCAACGCCGCCUGUACUGACAUGUAUCUGUAGGGACGGGGUGGAGAUAUUCCAAGGCGAGAAACAUUAUGUAACAGAUUGUGAAAUAUGUGAAUGCGAUGCACAGUAUGGAGUUUCUACCAUUUAUGGUGAUUGUUUCGUCAUUGAAUGUGUUGAUUCUGUAGAUGUACCAAAUGAUGGCAACUGCUGUCCAACCUGUCCUAAUGGUCCUAACUGUGAAGCUGCCCUAAAUGGAGUUACACAUAUUAUUCCUGAUAAUGGUACAGUUUAUAUUGGUGAUAUUCCCUGCUCGUGUCUUCCUGUGGAUUAUUCUUCGUUUGAUGGUGCCAGAAAAGCUGACUGUUUUGUGCCUCUAGGUACAGCUCCACCGAUACCUACAUCAUCAACUGGUCCAGAACCAACAGGCUAGAUGAGUCAUGAGUGGUAGAUAAUUUAAGGAUAUUCUACACCAAACCUUCUACAUGAUAUACCAGCAACUGAUACUAUUAAAUAAACUGCUUGAAAUCCGA